GACGAACGCUGGCGGCGUGCUUAACACAUGCCAGUCGAACGGAAAGGCCCUGCUUUUGUGGGGUGCUCGAGUGGCGAACGGGUGAGUAACACGUGAGUAACCUGCCCUUGACUUUGGGAUAACUUCAGGAAACUGGGGCUAAUACCGGAUAGGAGCUCCUGCUGCAUGGUGGGGGUUGGAAAGUUUCGGCGGUUGGGGAUGGACUCGCGGCUUAUCAGCUUGUUGGUGGGGUAGUGGCUUACCAAGGCUUUGACGGGUAGCCGGCCUGAGAGGGUGACCGGCCACGUUGGGACUGAGAUACGGCCCAGACUCCUACGGGAGGCAGCAGUGGGGAAUAUUGCACAAUGGGCGGAAGCCUGAUGCAGCAACGCCGCGUGCGGGAUGACGGCCUUCGGGUUGUAAACCGCUUUCGCCUGUGACGAAGCGUGAGUGACGGUAAUGGGUAAAGAAGCACCGGCUAACUACGUG
rnacentral:rRNA from 1 species